GCAUAAUCAUUUGCCCCUUAAUUAGGGGCUAGCAUGAAUGGACAAACGAGAUUAUACCUGUCUCCUUUAUACCUAUAAAAAUUARUCUACAGGUGAAGAAGCCUGUAUUCCUAUAAAAGACAAGAAGACCCUGUCGAGCUUUAAUUAUUUAUAAUAUAACGCGAUAUCUAUGCCCCCUCUUAUAAAUAAUCUUUGUUGGGGCGACAAUGGAGCAUAAAAACCCUCCACUACAAUCUAGACAACAAGUCACCCAAAAAAUCCCCAAAAGGAACCUGGAACUAGCUACCGCAGGGAUAACAGACUAAUCUUCCUCAAGAGCCCAAAUCUACAGGAAGGCUUGG
rnacentral:rRNA from 1 species